CAAAAAAAGAAGCCUAGUCAGAUACAUUUAUUAACUCAAAAACAAUGUAGUGCUGGAUUAUCUUCUAGUAUACAUGUAAAUUAACACACAUGGCUAAAAAUUCACUGCUUCCUUGUUUGAGUACUGGUUCUGGAAGGAGCCUCUACAGAUACUGAAGUACCCCUAGAGAUCUGCCAUCAGAACAUUUACAUCAUAAUGCUCUUGUUCUGUUGCUCAAACUUGAAAAGUUUUGGAAUCUGGUGAACUUUUCUUUCCUCACAUGGAACUGCCAAAUAGCCACUAGUUCAAUUUGGCCAAGCGCCCUGCCUUCACAUACUGAAAUCAGCAUUCCUUAGACGUGGUGGUACCUUCCUGUUUCAAUGUGAGAUAAGUUUGCAUCACCACAUCAGCCUGAGACCCUCCAGGGCAGUUGCAGGUGCUGAUGCGGUUCCUUGGAGGAUCUGACUUAGAGCGCGCUCCUCAUAGAAACACACACUGCUCAUCACAAGAAGCUGAUGUAGCCCUACCUCACUGAUCAAGUAAAUGGACAAAGAAUAAGAGACAAGAAGGAAACUAGAAUCUGCUUCUCCAAAAUCCAAACCCAUGCUUUUAACCACAGAAGCACUUCCAGUAUACACCAAGCCAAAAUAAACAUCAUUGCAGAACUCUUGCAAGAAGAGCUCUGAACUCUUCCAUCCCUCUUAUCUGUGACAAAACAACAGAUUUGGGAUAAAAAGAGAAUGGCCAAACUGCGCGGGCUGGAUGUAUGGAAAGUCUGUGGCUGGGUUCUCAUGCAGAGAACAGAAACGGCUCUGUGAUAAGUCAUCUAAACCAACACAGAAGAGAACAUGGAAAAUCCAGCUGAGAGGAACAUCUAAAUAUGCUUUAUACAAAAACUAAAUGUUAGCUCCACUUUUCUCCCUCUAUCCACUGCCUGCUGCUUUCCCUAGGUCCCACAGUUUCCUUGCAUGGAUGUUUUCCUUAAAAAUAAAAACACAAAAAUCAAUGUGAAUACUACAGAUAAACAUGCGUUGUUUACAUUCCCUUACUUUGAAGAGGUCACAUCACUUCUGAUGCAGUACACCAAUCCUAAGUUCAGGAUAUCACAUCAAUAUUACUGCAUUUUAUCUCAGCGACACAUCAUAGGAAAAUUUAGAAACUAUAGAUUAUGAAGUGCUUUCAAGUGAUACAGAGUAGCCAGCUAAUGUAAUACACCACACAGGGCAUAUGCUUUUUUUAAAGCUCUAAUGUCGCAAUAAAUCUGAACUACAGUAUCUGCCUUCACUAAGAAAACAUUUUCAUCUCAAUCCAUCAACAGAGUAAUUUAAACAAUAAAUGGUAGUGACCCAUAAGCCUAAGUGAAGAACAUGGGGAUAUUUGUGCCAAUUCUUUACUUCAUGAACCUUGAAAUCAAGGACCUUGUCCACAUUUGUACAAACAUAAACAUGCGCACUCACAUGCACAGUGUUGGUGUUUCUAGGACUAACACUACAACAUUUGCAGAAAAAAAAAUAUUCUUAUUUUUCAAAUACAAGAUCCUUUUGAACUGAAUAAACAAAAAGCAGGGUGAAAAGAAUGAAGCCGGUAGCUCUUCCAAUUUUACUGAACUUCAUUAAAAGGAAAAACUUCCCUCUCUUCCUUUCCCAGCCUAUGUCUGUACAGUAGCUAAAACCAACAAGCACACAUGCUCAAUUCCAGCACAGAGACAACAGCACCAGCAGUCACUGGGGUAAUGAAGGGGGUAGAAGAGCAGAACUUCAUCUCUUUUGAACACACAUGCCCUUUAUUAACACUGACACUGAUAUUCUUUCCACUGGACCUUAACCCAAAAUACACCCCUUCAUUCUGAAGGAUUUCAAAGGCUUUUUCUACUAUCCCUCAAACAUAUUCUCCUAAGAAUUGUUUCUUCCAGGACUCCUGGCCAGCUCACACAAACACUAAAAUAAAAGAAGUCAGGCUUAAAUCUAGUCAGGUGGUCUUGGAAAUUCACUGGGCAACUGAGCCCUGGUCACUUGCAAACAGUAAGGAACAUAAAGUCAAUCAAACUUUGCAGGAUAAAUUGUAACAUCCAAAUAUGCAUCUCAAUUAGGAACAAGACCUGAAAUCAGCACAUGAGAAAACAGGGUCUAUGUGGAAAAACUGCUUAUCCAAACACUUGAGAGUCAGGAUUAGCAUUGCACUGAGCUGGAAUUAAGGAGGCAGCAUUUGAAUCUUGAUGGAUUGAUAAGAUUUUCAAUAGCCAAGGGAUCCCUUUCCCUUAUUCCGCAUUUCAAGCAGAAACAGCAUACCUUCAAGUACUGCUUCUGCACUGAUAGGGAAACAAGGGCAUCCAUCUGAACUGCCAUCAGGUGUCUGGAACCGUUAAGGAGGAAAUGGACUUGUCCAACACCCUGAAAACACCAGACUCAACAGUCUCCCUUCUGCUGCCAUUAAGAUAAACAGCACUGCAUGAAAAUCCAUUAGAGUCGCUUCAGAAAUUCUAUUUACCUUACACUCAUUUAAUUUUAAAAGCUUACUAUUUUAUCUUAUUUUAAUAUCUAUAAAUGUAAAGAAGCGUUUGCAGAGAACCAAGGAAAAUGAAUCCAAGCUAAUUUACUCUAUGUAGAUUCAGUCAGCCAAGAUGUAAGAUACACUCUCUAAAUAAUAUAUCACGCAGGCAGUCAUAAUGCUUUGCCUAAAAUGCUUUAGCAAUUUAUAAAGCACAGUAUUGAACCAUCUACUCUUAAGUAUAAAAAGUUUAUCAUGGUCUUUAAACAAUAAAGUAGUGAGGCAAGUCCAAUGAACAUCAGCUAAGACCAAAUGAAGUAUGAAAAUAGGAAGUUUCAGCUUAUAGGUAUUCAAUAACAUACGAGCUUCUACAUUCCUUUUUGGAAGAAAUUUCCUCACGUCAUUAGCAGAAAAAAAAAUUAGAAGCAACUCUUCUUUUUUCUUCUGUCCUCUUAGCAACCCAAGAUGGAAUUAAAACUUCCCUUAAAAUAAUCAGGUGGCCACAGAGACAAAGAAACCUUGUACCGCUGUUAACAAAAGAAAGCAAACGGUAUUUAACCCUUCAGCUAUCUCCAUUUAUUUUUGAAAGGCAUCUUCUAUACUAUCUUCGAUUUUCAGCUCCAUUAUUAAAACGUGACAGUAAGAGAAAACAAGUGCAGCUAAACUACAGUUUCUUCUAGAGUUGUUAGAUGCCCUUCACGUCAGCCAGAUUAAGACACUAGAUUCUUACAAAUCAACAGCUUCAGCACAUCUCACUGCUUCCUAGUUAGAGAGUCUGCAGAAGCCAAAGGAAAAGCUAUUUCACCUGCAACACACAGAGCACUUUGCAGCACACCUGAGUGCCAAGACACAUCGUGUUGUUUUCAGAAAAUACCUGCUGCCCUCUCCAAACCUUUGCUUUCAACUACCUUAUCCAGGCUUAUGACGGCUCGCUAUUUUGGGAGCAGCCAGCUGAUACCGUUCUCUUUGGGACACUCCGGUGUCUUUGGAGAGCUGUAUACCCCCAAACAGUUGCACAGUUGUUACUCCCAGCUUCACAAUCAUCAUUACUUUUUCUGCAGCUUCAGACUUUUCCUCCUUAUUCACAACAGCCACACAGUUGUCACGUUAAUGUUCAGUCCCAUUUCCUAUUGUCUGUCAGUGCUUUUAAAAUCAAGACAGCCUGUCCUUUUACUUGCUGCUCUGAACCCACUCAUCCGCCCUGAUCCCCCAACCCUUUCUUUUCUUUAGGAUCAUCGUGAAACAUUAAUGUCACACAAAAAGCAACAACAGAGUCAGAUAUAACAUCUAGAAGUCCAGUUUCACACCGUAACCGUGAGACCAACCCACCCCUCGACACCUCUCAGGGUCAAUGGCACUUUAAUCCACCACGGCUAUUUUGCUUCUUAAACAGUCUACUCCAAAUUAAACCGCAAUAGUAGAGAACAGCAGAAUGUAAUGAGUGCUUGCAAAUUCCUACUGCAAAACACGUACACAUAACGUGCAGGUUUUCCAACAUCAGAUAUCUAUUUGGUAAAUAGAGACAGACCAUUCUUUGCUUUCUUCAGUAAAUAAAAAUUAUAGCAUUCACCCUAAUAACAGCACGCUAGCAGUUUUAAUUCCAAUGCCAUAUGUUUUAGGUUAUCAGCUGCACUUCGUGUCUGUAUUUUCAAUUAUCUACAGGUAGACAAUUUGGGAGUGUGAAAAUCAGGUUGAGCACUGAAACGUACUGGUCUGUUUGGGGUAAAAUCAUUUACCUGCAAAGCCUUCUUUUUUUAGCUAGGUUUCCCAUUGUGUACAAUUAGUACCAGGUUAGAUCUGACCAAAUAUACCACAGAUUUCUGUGCAGGCUUCUGUGAAGGCUAGCUUGUGUAAAUAAGGCUUGAUUAUAGCACACAGCUUGUGAAAGCAUCUGACUAACAUGACGCAUUACUGAUGGCCAGUUUUAGACUUACAUUUUCAUGAAGCUAAGCUCACUUUGGCUUUACAAUUUCAAUGAGCCUCCAGUUCUUAGUAAAAACAAUCCGGAGAAAACUCCUGGUUUGGAUAAGAAAGAAAAAGGACUCCAAAGAAAGCACAGCUCUGAAAUCUCAUCCUCUAAUAACUCCAUGGGGACAGGACAGAACUCGCCUCGCUGCUGGAAAGAGAACUUAGAGAGUGUAAAUAAAACACCUCGUUCACACACUGAAUUCAUGUGUUAGGUUAGAGCAGCAAGCCACUGUAACAUCCUGCUUUACAGGUUAGAUUGAAAAAGUACUGAAAAGAUUACUCUUCGUAAGUGAAUCCUCAACACAAUCUGUUUCAGCUGCAAACAGGCUCGACUAGUCUGGGGCUUUAGGCAAUUCAGCCUUUCUCACAGGUAUCAAGCGAACUAGGAAGGGGCUCUCUGGGAAAAAAGAAAGUUACCAAUUUUGUUUUAAAACUCCCAACUAUCAAAAAAAAAAAAAAGGAAUAUAAUUACCACUCCUUUUUUUUUAAAAGGUAACAACACUUUAUAUUUAAGAUCACAAAGAUGACAAAACCAAUACUUAAGUAACAGAAGGUAAUCAUUUGCAUUUCAAAAUUCAUCUAUCUUGCUUUUCCCUCAAUUAGUCCAAAACAUGUUGAUUCACAGGUUUGUGUGCGCGUUUGUUUCUUUUUUAAACUUAUUUACAGCGCAGAAUAAUGGCCCCCCUGCCAGGCUGGCAUUUGCUCAAGUUUCUGUCCCUGUAAAUUGAAUCUGUUACUGGAAUUUUCCCCCUUCAGAAUACCUAGGCACAUUAACCAAGAGAUAAAGAGAUACGCGCUGCUGAUACUAUCAGCCACCGGGCAGGUGGAUAACGUGAGGGAUUUUCUGUUAGUUUUUGUGGGUUUUUUUUUUUUUCUUUUUGAACAAAUAGGCGAUAAGAGUUCUCAGGGGGCACAGAGAGCAAAGGGCUGUUUAAACAGAAGUGAAUCAUUCUCAUCUGAUCUGCUAAUAACUUUGUAUUCAGACAUCAGCGCACUUAACACCCAGAAAACAAAAUUACUUUAAAGAAGUGGAAGUAAGGGGGGGGGGGGGG